CGGAGGGUGCAAGCGUUGUCCGGAUUCAUUGGGUUUAAAGGGUGCGUAGGUGGCUAUUUAAGUCAGUGGUGAAAGCCUGCAGCUUAACUGUAGGACUGCCAUUGAUACUGAAUAGCUUGAGUACUGAUGAGGUAGGCGGAAUUGAUAGUGUAGCGGUGAAAUGCAUAGAUAUUAUCAAGAACACCGAUUGCGAAGGCAGCUUACUAAGGAGUUACUGACACUGAGGCACGAAAGCGUGGGGAUCAAACAGGAUUAGAUACCCUGGUAGUCCACGCCAUAAACGAUGAUUACUCGAUGUAUGCGAUAGAUUGUAUGCGUCCAAGCAAAAGCGUUAAGUAAUCCACCUGGGGAGUACGACCGCAAGGUUG
rnacentral:rRNA from 1 species